rnacentral:rRNA from 1 species
AGUGAACGCUGGCGGUAGGCCUAACACAUGCAAGUCGAACGGUAGCACAGAGGAGCUUGCUCCUUGGGUGACGAGUGGCGGACGGGUGAGGAAUGCAUCGGAAUCUACUCUUUCGUGGGGGAUAACGUAGGGAAACUUACGCUAAUACCGCAUACGACCUACGGGUGAAAGCAGGGGACCUUCUAGGCCUUGCGCGAUUGAAUGAGCCGAUGUCCGAUUAGCUGGUUGGCGGGGUAAUGGCCCACCAAGGCGACGAUCGGUAGCUGGUCUGAGAGGAUGAUCAGCCACACUGGAACUGAGACACGGUCCAGACUCCUACGGGAGGCAGCAGUGGGGAAUAUUGGACAAUGGGCGCAAGCCUGAUCCAGCCAUACCGCGUGGGUGAAGAAGGCCUUCGGGUUGUAAAGCCCUUUUGUUGGGAAAGGAAAGCAGCCGGCUAAUACCCGGUUGUUCUGACGGUACCCAAAGAAUAAGCACCGGCUAACUUCGUGCCAGCAGCCGCAGUAA